GGUAGAAGGGUAACCCCAAUCAUCCGUCUUAUUCUCUGGGACUGUUCAGAGAAAGCCAGAUUUGCUUCAUGCCUAUGGCUGCUUCUGAGGUCAUGGGUAGCCCUCCAAGCACCUCUCCUUAUGUUUCAAAGACAAGAUGUUCUCACAGACAUAGUGUUGCCUAUUAAGGCCUCUAUACUCAGCAAUCAUCCCUGGUGGUGAAAAAUUGGACAACAUUGCCUUGUGGUGAGUCUCAGCUGGGUCAUGAGAUUACCCUCUAGGAACAUGUGGUUGUCCCUUUCUGAUGAUCACACAUGCACAUAGCCUCCCAGAUGCAGACCAAAAAGCCCUAUUUCAUUGAAAGUCUAUAUUAAAGCCUUUACAAAUAAGAGUCCCUCCUUGCUGUGACUGCCUGGCUGGGGCAUGCUAGUAGUUGUACAGUCUGCCAUGUGGGGUGAGUUUCUAAGGACGCUUUCCUACAUGUCUUACCCUGUGCACACUUCCUUCUCCACUGUUAGCAUCCAUCCAUGAAAGGGCAGGAAGAUGCCCCCCUGUAACAGUAUAUAGAGGAAGGAAACUCGUGCCUGUGGAAGCUGUCGUGAGGAGUGUAUUCUGUGUGCAGCUUCCCUGGAUCCCUCCUAUCCUUCAUGGAAAAAUUUAAGGUGAUGAGUCUCUAGUAGUACCAGCAAUCUAGUGCCCUCAGACUCUAAAGCGUAUCCCCCAUACUGUAAGGUUCUAAUUGGAAGCCACCUGUGACUACCGUGUGUGUGUGUGUGUGUGUGUGUGUGUGUCUGUCUGUCUGUCUGUCUGUCUGUGUGUACACCAGAGGCCCUGGCCAUUGACUGCUACUGUCUUAAUGCCUGUCAAGCCACUGUCUGCCUACCGAACACCAGCUCUGCUCAGGUAUCUUGCACCCUGAGUCGAGGAGGGAGACGUAAUUUGCCGAAGCCGUUUUUGGCGGUAGUUCUUGGUUGUGUCCCUUACCCCCGAGCCUUGCGCAUGUGACAGAAGGAAUUCCGUACAGCCUCUUGGCUUCCGUGCAUCAUGAAUCACAUCAGCCAGGGCAGGAAGGACACGGAGCUGGCAGGAGACUAAAGUCAGAGUGUGUGUCUCUUGUCUGUCUCUCUCGUAGUUUUAUUUUGUCUGUAUUGUUUGUUCAUUUGGAUGUUUUAAUUUUUAAAAGAAAAGAUCUUUGCUGAUAUUUAUAAUUUUGUAUCAUAAGAAUGUCCUCCAGAAUUUGUCAUGCCAGUUUAUAACAGAAAAAAAAAUUGCAGGGAUUUUAUUUCUAUUGGAAACACUAUUGCAGUUAUGUUUUACUUUUGAACAGAAGUUUUAUUUGUAUAGAGUGCUUACUAAUGUUAAAUAGUUCAGAGUAUAUAACAUUUAUGUUAAGGACUCAAUGGUAGGUUUUAGUGUAAGGAGUUUAAAGGAAAUAAAUAUUCAAACUGGGUCUCGUCUGCCAAUUUGGGUGGAAAUGAGUUUGUGUCAUUUCAAUUACAAAGACGAAAGUAUGCCAUAUAAUUUAUUUAUAUGAAAAUUUAUUUUUGUAGUGUACAUAGUAGUCAUCAAGUCUUUUGACAGAAGUAUAUUUUUAAAGAAUUUAUAUGUGAUGAAAUCCGUAAUGUCUGGGGCUUUGCUGAGACAUGGGUGUGAGGACACAUUUCAUUGCAAACGACAGCAAGGGAGAGGGAGUUGUGUUUAACAGUGUUAAGAGAGUCCACGUGAUUGGAAAGGGUUGGUGUGAGCGUGGUGACCUAGUGUGGUUCUCAGAUGAAAAUGUACAAAACUCUCUAAAUAUUAAUGUUCAAACACUGAUAGAAAUUCUAACAUGAAUAAAGAUAAUAUAACUUGUCGGUUUA
rnacentral:lncRNA from 1 species